GGAUGCGAGAGCGAUGUGGCUGUCGCAUCUGUCACCCCACUGAUCGCCAGGGUUGAUUCGGCUGAUCUGGCGGGUGCCCCCUCCCUCCCUCGUGAAGCCGUGCGCUUGGUGGAAGAGGAGGCCAUCCCCGAUAGAAGGAGUGUUUUCAAGGGUAUACAAUCGCUGCUUCUUGAGCCAUCCCCUUGUAGUUUGAUAAACCUCUGCAUUGUUGGGGGCGGUCCCAGACGUGUGCUGCCUGGAGCAGUCUAGCAGGGGCU